rnacentral:rRNA from 1 species
AUGGGAGGUUUUGAAGAUGAUGAACCACCCUCAAAACGCGCAAGAGCAUCCUCAGUAGAGUCAGCAAAUUUACCAGAAAGUUUCUGUUAUUCAAAAUCCAUUAACCCUUUGGGAGGUACAAUGGCUAGACCUUUGGCUUCCCAGGGGAAAGAAGUUAUGGUUGGUUCUAAAGGUGUUAUUAAGAGGGACGAAUUUGUGAGGAUAAUCACAAAAGCUCUGUAUACUCUUGGAUAUGAAAAAAGUGGAGCUGUUCUUGAGGAAGAAUCAGGUAUUACAUUGCAUUCUCCAUUGGUGAAUCUAUUCAGAAAGCAGGUGCUUGAUGGUAAUUGGGACAAUGCAGUAGCUACCUUGAAUAAACUUGGCCUUCUGGAUGAAAACAUUGUGAAGUCUGCUGCAUUUUUGUUAUUGGAGCAGAAAUUCUUUGACCUUUUGAGAAAUGACAACUUAAUGGGUGCCAUAAAGAUGUUGCAAAAUGAAAUCUCCCCCCUUGGUGUUAACAGAAAACGAGUUCAUGAAAUGUCAAGUUGCAUAAUUUCUUCUCCGCAGAACUUCUUGCUUGCAUUUCCAAAGCUUGGAACCGAAGCUUCUGACUCACGCCUUAAGCUCCUAGAGGAAUUGCAAAAGGUGCUCCCACCUGCUGUUAUGGUACCAGAGAGGAGGUUAGAGAAUAUAGUUGAACAGGCACUUACUGUACAACGUGAAGCUUGUUAUCUCCAUAAUUCUAUUGAUGGCUUGUCACUUUAUGUUGAUCAUCACUGUGGGAGGGAUCAGAUACCAUCUCGAACACUGCAGGUUCUGCGUGCACACGGUGACGAAGUAUGGUUUCUUCAAUUUUCAAACAAUGGGAAAUAUUUAGCCUCAUCAUCAAAUGAUAAAUCUGCAAUUAUAUGGAAGGUCGAUGAAGAUGGAGAACUAUUGCUGAAGCACAGAUUGACUGGUCAUGAGAAACCAGUGAUGAUGGUUGCAUGGAGUCCUGAUGAUAGCCAGCUUCUUACAUGUGGAAUGGAAGAAGCCAUCCGGCGUUGGAAUAUUGAAUCUGGUGAAUGUAUUCAUGUCUACGAAAAGCCUGGCCUUGGUUUGACGUCAUGUGGUUGGUUUCCAGACGGAAAACAAAUAUUGUGUGGUCUAUCUGAUCAAAGCCUUUGCUUGUGGGAUUUAGAUGGUAAAGAGGCAGAUUGCUGGAAAGGGCAGCGGUCAUCAAAAACAUCUGAUUUUGCUGUAACAAAAGAUGGCAAAUUUAUAAUAAUUAUGAACAGAGAUUCCACAAUUCUUUUAUUCAAUAGGGACACGAAACAGGAGAGGCUGAUUGAAGAGGAUAAUACAAUCACUUCAUUUUCUCUUUCUGAUGAUGGAGAUUUCUUGCUUGUAAAUCUUAUAAGUGAGAAGAUCCAUUUGUGGAACAUAAGGAAUGACCCCAGUAGAGUGAAACAGUACAUUGGCCAUAAACGCAGCCGGUUUGUUAUAAGAUCGUGCUUUGGUGGAUCGGAUCAGGCCUUUAUUGCCAGUGGGAGUGAAGAUUCAAAGGUCUAUAUAUGGCACAGAGCUACGGAAGGUGUUAUCGAGACUCUUUCUGGUCACUCUGGCGCAGUCAACUGUGUAAGCUGGAACCCUACAAAUCCACAUAUGCUCGCUUCUGCGAGUGAUGAUCACACAAUACGUAUAUGGGGGGUGAAGAAGGCCAGCACAAAGCGGAAGGACAUAGGCAGCAGCAGUAGCAGCAAUGGGACUCACAUGAACGGCAGUGCCAAUGGCAACGGUUUCGUUCACCAGUGCAACGGUAGCCGCAGCAAAUGA